CUGCCACCAUCGGGCUCACCAGGUGUCACUAACCUCACACCUCAAGAGCAUGGAGCCAAGCACCAGAACCUCUCAGCUGCAUUUCAACUGAAGUCAAAAAAUCCUUUGCUCCAGAUCACCCAGGAUGUGGGCGGUGGCAAGGCUGGAGCUGAAGUUAUUUGAGCAAGCUUUGUGUUGCCUCACGUCUGGGAUCAAAGCACACAAUCUGACCACAAAGGAAAAGAAGAUAAAUUUUGGAGAAGAAGAGAGCACAUUCCCAGAGCCAGUGGUAGCCAAAGAACCUGUGAAAGUGAGGAACUUUGCCUCAUAGAAAAGAAGGUGAGUCAGUCGUAUCUUCUGAGCAGUAAUAUUAC
rnacentral:lncRNA from 1 species